rnacentral:rRNA from 1 species
UACGUAGGUGGCGAGCGUUAUCCGGAAUGAUUGGGCGUAAAGGGUGCGCAGGCGGUCCUGCAAGUCUGGAGUGAAACGUAUGAGCUCAACUCAUGCAUGGCUCUGGAAACUGUUUCCCUUGAGUGUCGGAGAGGUAAUCGGAAUUCCUAGUGUAGCGGUGAAAUGCGUAGAUAUUAGGAAGAACACCAGUGGCGAAGGCGGAUUACUGGACGAUAACUGACGGUGAGGCGCGAAAGCGUGGGGAGCAAACAGG